AGCCCAGCCCGGCCUCCGUCUUCCAAGACCCGGGGCCUUGGGAAGUGGCCACCAAUAAGGAAGUCCUGGAGGCCUCAACCGCAGGCAUUUCGAAUGCAAGCCUUGAUCACCCUGUACAAAUGAGCCGGGGGCAAGGCCGAUGGGAAUCCUCGGUUGGAGAGUAAGCCUGUGUAACAACUCAGCAAAUAUUGGUCUCUCCGUCCCUACUCCCUACCCCAGAUGGAUGGGGUACAGCCCCCCUCCUCAGUACAGCGACUGAGUACAGCCAAAAUUCUUCAAGCUAGAAGCCACAGCGAAGCACUGGCCUCUUCGCCAGGCUCCCCUGGUUUAAGGGCCCAGACCGAAAUGUUUGCACAUCUGUUUCUAUCCAGUGUUGUAAUCUCUGUUGCUUAAUCCAAAAAUUCCGUUCUUCUUUCAUAAGAAAAUAAAGUACAAGGGGAAACAAA